CAGGAGGCGCCAGGCGGGUUGCAAGCAAACACACAACCCACCCGUCGUUGGGUCAGCCACGUGCACCGCGACCGAGCCGGACCAGUUUGGUCUCGGACAGUCGGACCCGAGUCAAUCCUUCAGCCUCAGGUGCGGCGUCCGCCCGCCACGUGUCCUCGCCUCACCAAUCAUCACCCAUCCUUCUCUUCUCGGCCCCACCAACUCUGUCUCUCUCUCUCUCUCUCUCUCUCGCUGCUCGCGCAAAAACCCCAACUGCGUCGCCGUGCUCGCCGGCUCGCCGCCUCGGCCUCGCCGCGCGCUCUCUCGCCGCCGGUGUCUGGACGACGAGGAGGGCGGGUGGCGGCGGGGGAUGGAUCGCUGGGAGGCGUUGAUCGCCGCCGCCGCGCGGCGGAGCGAGCCGCCGAGAAGCGGGUGGGCGGAGUGGGGCGGGGGCGGCGACGCUCGCGCGGGCGCGGCCGCGCUUCCGUCUCGCUGUCCCCGUCGUCCCGUGGCUGCUGCGGGUGGGAGAGGCGAGGGGGGUGAUAGAAUGCGGGGGCGAGGCGGGGAGGAAGGGACGUGGACGGCUCAUGGUGGAGGCGGACGAGGUGCGGAGCGCGCGGGCGCGGUGGUGGCGCCGACGAGGACAGCGGACGCGGCGGGGACGGGGACGGGGAGGAACGCGGUGGCCGUCGGCGGUGGCGCGGCGGAGGAUGUGGUGGUGAUUGUAUCAGGGCGGCGAUCGGUGGGCGAGCCGACGCUGGACGUCUCUGAGAUGCUGCUCCAGGCGGCGCAGGCAUGGAGAAGCCGGCGCACGCAGCGGGAAGCUCGCCCGGACGCGCUUCCACCUCGCCAUCCUCCUCGUCCCGUCGCCGCGGAUGGGCGCGGGGGCUCAGGCGAGGGGACCAGUAGAGCGCGGGGGCGCGGCGAGGAGGGGACGGCUCGUGGCGGAGAUGGCGAGAUGAUGGCGCUGGUGAGAACAGUGGAUGUGGCCGUGGCCGGUGGUUUGGCCACGCUCACGCACGGCGGCGAGCGGGAUGCUGGCGCGGCGGUGGCGACGGAGGAGAAGAGAAAUGGCGGCGAGGUGGGGACGAAGAGGGGGAUGGAGGAGCGGGCCGCGCGUUCGCCGCCGCCGCCCAAGCGGAGCGCGGUGUCCUCCGUUCGCCAGCUUCCUCCAGGUUGCGGAAGGGACGCCGCUCUUCCACUCGGGCGCCGCCACGGCCGCGGCCGCGAUGGCGACGGUGGUGUUCCUCCUCUCGCUGGCAACAGAACUGAUUUGCCGUUGGAAGCUGUGGUGGAUGGUGGUGAUCCAAUUGCAAAUGUGCAUCAAAUCUUCAGCAAAUCUUCGCAUGCUACGGAUGAGAAUCAGGUCGCUUGCAAAGUUGGUUCACUGGAGGAUGUUGUACAAGAAGGGGCAGCAAAUAGUGGUGAAUUGCUGGGGUGGAAGCAAGUGUUAGCUCAAGCCGCGAAUGUGCUUCCCAAGAGGAGGAUGGUAUCCGCGACGCGCCGCUUCCCUCCUGGAUGUGGGAGGGACGUUAAGACUGGUUCAGGUUUGGAAUUCAUGGCUGUUGAUGCUUCUUGUGGUGGUGUGUCAAAGGAGGUGGUGGCUUCGGAUGGCGGUGAUAGUUUGGUUAGCCAGGAAUUGGAGGAGGGUGAGGUGGCUGAUGAGGCAUACUCUGAUGUAGAUUCACAAAAUGUUGCUGUGGAUGAUUCCAUGGCUGCAGCUACUGAAGAUGUUAAGGUGAUGAACAAAUGCAAAGGGACCUUACCCAGAGCCGCUGCUGAACCUUGUGCUGAGGGUCCUUCCAAAGAACAUUUUAAGGGUACGAGGGAGUGUGAAAAUGAUAGGAUGGGAAAAUCAUCCAUGAAUGUUGCAACAGAAGUAUUUGGUGAUGGUAUGAUGAGAAGUAAGAUACUAUUGACAGCUAGAAAAGCAGUCAAGUCACCACUGAACACUCUGCAUAGAUGGCCCUUCUCUAAGGGAAAAGAGGAGUGUGCUGUAACAAAUAGUGCUCCAUUUGGUCCUAAGAAGAAGUUUAAGGUAAAAGGUGCAUAUCAAACUAAAGAUAUUCCUAUCAAGAUUGUCUCUACACCUGGAUUAGGGGGCAAGGACAACCUUGUCGACAAAGAGGCUUUGAUCUUGGAAGAUGAUGAUAUUUUGAAGGCACUAGCUGUUCAUGAUGGAAAACUUAAGUUGUAUCUCAAUGCUUCCUCAUCUGUUCAGCGUCACGGGCAACAUGGAAGUGGGAAUGCUAAUGAUAGGAGGAAAACCAUGAUGCUGUGCAGGAGGUUUCAGUUUAUACACAGGGCUCUUGUACAUGCUGUCAAACAGGGCUCGUUGAAGGUUCUAAGAGCUGACCUUGAAGCUGAUAAAAUCGUUCGGAAAUUGCCGGGCUUUAUCAAACCUGGACCUAUUGUGGGAAAUGUUCGUGGAGUCGAAGUCGGUGACGAAUUUCUAUACAGAGUUGAGCUAGCCCUUGUUGGUCUCCACCGUCCAUACCAGGGAGGAAUCGAUACCACCGAUCAUAAUGGAGUGCUUGUUGCAAUAAGCAUCGUUGCUUCUGGAGGUUAUCCCGAUAGAUUGUCAAGUUCAGGUGAACUCAUAUACACUGGUUCUGGAGGACAGCCUGCUGGUAAGAAGAAAGGUGAGGAUCAAAAGCUAGAGAGGGGAAAUCUUGCCUUGAAGAAUUGCAUCAAGACAAAGACACCUGUCCGAGUGAUUCAUGGAUUCAAAGGCCAAAAUGGCAAGGAUGACAGUUAUUCAAGGGCUAAACAAAUCUCAGCAUUUACUUAUGAUGGGUUGUAUCGUGUGGUGGAUUACUGGAGAGAAGGUCUAAAAGGUUCUAUGGUCUUCAAAUACAGACUACAAAGAAUUCAUGCUGGUCGAUGAGGUUGAUCAUCUAAAUCUUUUCUAGUACAGAAUCAAGAUGUAUUUUUUUUGUCCUGGGUGAUAUAAUUAGCUUAGAAGGACAAGAAGUUACAUGGGCCUGGUUGAAGGGUGAUGUUUUCCGGUGGCGAAAAUGGGCGUGAAGUGUCGCUCGAACUCCUGGAAGGGGUGAGAGUCGAAGCACUAGAACACAUGCGCAAGUACACGGAAGGCACUUCGGCAACCUAUAACAAGAAGGUUCGACCGAUAGAACUCCGGCCCGGCCAUCUCGUACUAUCCUAACCUAUAUUUUUCCUUCAAAUUUAAAAUCGGGUAUAGGUAGUGCCGGAUCGGAUAACAUGUCACUUGUGCCGUAUCACAUUCCAUAUUAAUUUCUCGAAAUCGGAUACAUGAAAGAAUUUCUAUGUGCAAUUCAUGCAUAUUAAAUAUAGAGGGGCAAUUAAAGUACCAAAAGAGAUAAAGCAAGAAAACAUUUAUGUAAUAUUACCUAUGAUAUUAUAAACUAGUGUAAUCAAUAUUUUAUCA